GACCUAUGAUUACAAUUAAGUAAGAGUUAAUUAACAUUUUAAUACUUUGGAUAGUUAUUUUCUAUUUGCAGACUGUGUGGUAUUAUGCAAUGCCCUUUAAUUGAUUGCCCCUUCAUAACUAGUUACAUUCAACUCACAUUUUGUAUUCUGGAAUUAUUUGAUAUUUCUUCUGGAAAUUUUUAAUGUUGAGUUGAACUCACAGUGGAGACCUUUGAAAAACAAUAUAUCUAUACAUCUUAAACAAUAUAAUUAAAGCCCAUUUAAAGAAAAAGAAAACUUAAUUCUCAGUAUCAGUUCAACAUUUUAUCUCACAACCAUAAUUCACUAAAAUUACCAAGCAAAGAAAUAGUUAAGCAUAGAAAACUCUCUAAGAAAUUGUCCUAUUGUAUUUAGUUUCAGCAUUUCAAAUUAUAAGCUCAAUUAAAGAAAAACACUUUUUCCUCAAGUUUUUUCUUCUGCAUUUGGAUAAUGAAAUGAAAAAAAUCCUCGUCAAAUUAUUUAUGCUCUUAAGCAGUUGUUGAUUUUUGUUAUGUCUGAUUUUGUAAAUCUUUGAUUCCCAGACUAACAAUAUCUUUUCUCUUGCAGAGGAACCUGCCAUCAAAGUGUUACUGACUUUCAAUUUUUAGUAAAAAAACAAAUUGGUAUGUUUAUGGAUGUUCGACACACAUUGUCUCCAAAAAUUGCAAUAGAUGUCUCAAAUAAAGCUACACUCGGAUUUCUUAGGAAGCACCUUGGUAAGCUUACUUUUAUUUCUUAACUGAUUGCAUGAUAACUGAAAUUAUUAGAGGAAUUUAUGAGCUUCUUUAUACAUUACAGAACAGUGACAUACACAAACAUUUUCGUAAGAGGGGGUCCAGUGACUGCUUAGUACGAGGCCUGCUCCAGUCUUGCUUCCCCAUUUCUGAUUUCAAUUUUAUUCAGUGAUUCCCAUUAUAAUCAACCAACUUUUUUCCACAAAAAGGGGGCGUGGGGAGUGGGCUACAAUGUGCCUCCUUCCCUAAAUCCACACCUGUAAAAAACAUAUGAUAGUAAAAUGUUGAUACAUGUAUGUAUAUAUCUGUUCCGGACCAUAUGAGUAUUUGGACCAUACGCGUAUGGUCAUGACCAUAUGCGUAUACUCAUAUGGUCUGACCAUAUGGGUAUAUAUACUGGUUUGGUUAUUGACGGACCGGACCAUAUGAGUAUUUGGACCAUAUAGGUAUUUUUUCAAAUAUUAAUAAACUUUAUCCAAAAAAAAACCAAUGAUAUUUACAUGAAAAUGUAUUAAUUUUAUAAUUCAAAGGCUAUAAAAAAAAACAAAUAUAGAUGCCACAAUUAGUUUUCAUCGCGAAUUGUAUUCUUAAAAUUACGCUUAGGAUGGCAUUUACUUCCACACGGUACCAUAAUUUUUUCUGCAUUUGCACGUCUUGAUUGUGCACAAUCCUUUGCAGUUACGCCAUUUGCAUUCGAGCGAAAAGCUAGCCUUCUUAUCAGCUGCGUGCAGUGAUCCUGAGGUCUCUGGGAAACUCCAUGACAGUCAUUAAGAAAUUAUGGAAAUAUCUACCUAAGUCGACAUAUUGCCAUGCACUCGUAACAACAAGUCGGUAAUGACUAUAUGAAUAAAAUGUGUUUACUAUAGUGACUAGUGAUUAUAAUUAAAUGCACAAAACUGCUUAUUUUGUUAUUUAAUAAAUGAAAUGACCUUUGAUAUCGUCUUUUUAAUGACGUGACAACUACAAUGGUUAUACCUUAUGAAGAGAUAGGUGUUACCUGUAAACUUGUUAAUUACCCCGACCAUAUGAGUAUAUACCCAUAUGGUCAUGACCAUACGCGUAUGGUCCAAAUACUCAUAUGGUCCGGAACAUAUCUAUUGUGACUUCAAUUGAUAAAGAACUACCACUAGAUAAUUUUAUAUAUUUUCCUCUUUUAGGCCAAACAGGGGAUACAUACGAUAGUAUCAUAGCUGGUGAACAUGAACAUACUGUCUUGGGUCCAAUCAUUGCACGCGAAAGACCAGCUUGAGAGCUCCUGUACCUGCAAAGGACCAAUGAAAAAUCCAUAAAUCAGGAACACAUGAUCUCAUUUACUUGGCAUUCAUUGUUCAAUCAAUUCAAAAGUUUCAAAUAGAAAUACAACAAGAGUCAGUCAUAUUUAUACUGUUACUAUAGUUUGAAUAUUCCUUCUUUUGAAAUGAACUGCAAAUGACAUGUACUUAUUGUCCUAUCAACAUGAAGGUAUAUUUAGGAUUGAGGGCAUUCCAACUAUUCUCUUGUGACUUCUAUCUUGUCCAAUGCUUGAGAAACUCGUUUGAAAAAUGUACUGCAACAGAUUAUCACUCAUCUAUACACAAAUUUGUUCCUCCUUGAUGUUGAUACUCUCUGUAUAGCUUAGACAAAUUGUGAUCUUUCCUUUAAGGUGGUACCCAACAGCUGAGCUAAAAUUAAUUUGGCUCUUUUAAUUUUCUUAAAAUUUUGACAAAGUAUUUACUUUGACCCUCUGACAAAAAUAUAAAAAUUUCAAAAAAUUUGCAGUAACCAUUUAAUCAGAAAAAUUACACUGGUUAUAUAGCAGUUUGACAAAAACUUAUUUUGAUCAUUGAGAAGCCUAACAUUCCUUUAACACCACCACAUCAUUAAAACGUUCUGCUGAUUUUACAGAGUUAUCUCCCUGUAGUGUUAGGUACCACCUUAAUAGUGGAAGCUAUAAUUCAAAUGGGGCACCAGGAAUUCUGAUGAUCUAGAUAGUGCAAUUAUUCUCCUAACACCAAUAUCCAAAGACAAACAGUUGUAUUUGUUUAAGUCCAAGGGGCAUAAUUACACAAGAUAAUGGAAUGGAGAGGAACCUGUUUAAUCAAAGAUAUUAUUUUAGUCCCAAUGAUAUAGUUUCAUGUGAAUUAUGAUUAAGAAAAAAUGUUGAUUGUACAACUUCUUAUUACUUGACUUUUACAUAUAUUUAUGGAUAAACCAGAGACAAGAUCAAUACUGAACUAACCUCUAUAACAAGAAAGAGAGUCUAAGAUAUUGACUUGCUCAGGAAAACCCACCUCCUAGCUUUGCUUGUAGGGACUUAUACAAGUACCUCAACUGAUUCAAUAAUUACAGCAAAUAUUUAAAAGAUGUGACUUUUAAUUUAAAAUUAGUGAUUAAGUGCAGGAUUUUAUAAGAAAUAAUCUGGGAAUUGGUAAAAUUAGUUCUAGCUUUUAACUUCCUAAACCUUAAUUUUGAUAUAAUAGAAACACAUAAAAGCAUGAUGGCAGCGUAUAUCUUAAUGUUUCUAGUACUAAUAUGAUAGGUGGCUAGCAAUUCUAACCUUUUUUCUAAAAAGAGUUGUAUUUUUUAAAAUGUCUAUUUGCUUGAUUAAAAUAUUUCUUCAAAGGUAUACGGAACUGUUUAGAUAUAAAAUGUGUCUUGCAGUUUAAGGCCCCGCAUGCAUUCUUCUGUAGAAACCUAUGCCUUAAUUUACUUGAUAUUCUCUGCACAGUGAAUUGAAGUUGUUUUUGUGUUUGACCUUGCAAAUUCACCAUUUGCCUUAUUGCUUACAGCUUAAGUUACUUUAUUAUUGUGG
rnacentral:lncRNA from 1 species